ACUUCUCUAAGGGGGUGCCUAAAAAUUGCGGGCUGAGAUCAUACCCUUAGAACCUGAUCCGGGUAAUGCCGGCGCAGGGAGAUUAGAAUUUAUGAAGUA
rnacentral:ncRNA from 2 species